CCGUCGCCAUCUUGGCAGCGCCACGUGUGUCGUCAUUCCUGGAAAAUUGAAAAAUGGGCAAAGAGGUGGAGCUGAGAGGGGGACUGUGAAGGUGGGGGUGGAUGAUUGACACCCAUCAAACUUCGAGCUGCCUGUAGCUAAGAGCUAACCGAGCUAACGGUAGCUAACCAGCUAAUGGAAGUAGGCGGGCUAAAGAUAAGGCACGGCUGUUUGUGCUGCACUCUCCCUUCUUCAAUUAUCCUUUCUUGAUAUAGGACUGAUCACGAAUGACGUCAAAAUGCUAUUUUUAGAACAGCGUACUGCGCAGGCGCCGCCGCCAUAUUGGAUUCGGACAAACAACCUGUAGAGCGUGUAUACUGUGUUUGUACGAGCAAAGUUGCAUUCCGAAUAGCCGAAUAUUUCUUUAACAAAACCAUUAUGGUAACAACUAAACACUGCUGCUUCGGUGUCUGCCGAAGUGACUCGCAAUAUAGUGACCGUGAACAUAUGAAGGGAGUGUUUUUCAUUCCAUUUCCAAAGCCCGGAAGAGAACCAGAGAAAUGCCAACGUUGGGUACGAGCUUGUAAACGGGAGGGAUUCACUGAGAAAAAUGUGACAAAGGAUACAUACAUUUGCUCUCUGCAUUUCCUCGGUGGAAAAGGGCCAACAAUUGAUGAUCCAGACCCAAUACCAGCAACAACAACAUCUGGACAGGUGGAGAAAAUAGCCCGCAAAAGGAAAGCUCCUACCCAAAGAAAUGAGGCUGUUUCUGAAGCAAAGAGAAAGAGGAAAAGAUUGACCCACAACAACACUCCAUCGUCCAUUAAUUGUAAUAGAAAUGAAGUUCAAAUAAAAACAUUUCAGAUGCA